ACGCUGGCGGCGUGCCUAAUACAUGCAAGUAGAACGCUGAAGUCUGGUGCUUGCACUAGACGGAUGAGUUGCGAACGGGUGAGUAACGCGUAGGUAACCUGCCUCAUAGCGGGGGAUAACUAUUGGAAACGAUAGCUAAUACCGCAUAACAGUAUUUACCGCAUGGUAGAUAUUUGAAAGGAGCAAUUGCUUCACUAUGAGAUGGACCUGCGUUGUAUUAGCUAGUUGGUGAGGUAACGGCUCACCAAGGCUUCGAUACAUAGCCGACCUGAGAGGGUGAUCGGCCACACUGGGACUGAGACACGGCCCAGACUCCUACGGGAGGCAGCAGUAGGGAAUCUUCGGCAAUGGGGGCAACCCUGACCGAGCAACGCCGCGUGAGUGAAGAAGGUUUUCGGAUCGUAAAGCUCUGUUGUAAGAGAAGAACUGUGAGAAGAGUGGAAAGUUUCUCACUUGACGGUAUCUUACCAGAAAGGGACGGCUAACUACGUGCCAGCAGCCGCGGUAAUACGUAGGUCCCGAGCGUUGUCCGGAUUUAUUGGGCGUAAAGCGAGCGCAGGCGGUUUGAUAAGUCUGAAGUAAAAGGCUGUGGCUUAACCAUAGUACGCUUUGGAAACUGUCAAACUUGAGUGCAGAAGGGGAGAGUGGAAUUCCAUGUGUAGCGGUGAAAUGCGUAGAUAUAUGGAGGAACACCGGUGGCGAAAGCGGCUCUCUGGUCUGUAACUGACGCUGAGGCUCGAAAGCGUGGGGAGCGAACAGGAUUAGAUACCCUGGUAGUCCACGCCGUAAACGAUGAGUGCUAGGUGUUGGGUCCUUUCCGGGACUCAGUGCCGCAGCUAACGCAUUAAGCACUCCGCCUGGGGAGUACGACCGCAAGGUUGAAACUCAAAGGAAUUGACGGGGGCCCGCACAAGCGGUGGAGCAUGUGGUUUAAUUCGAAGCAACGCGAAGAACCUUACCAGGUCUUGACAUCCCGAUGACCGCCCUAGAGAUAGGGUUUCUCUUCGGAGCAUCGGUGACAGGUGGUGCAUGGUUGUCGUCAGCUCGUGUCGUGAGAUGUUGGGUUAAGUCCCGCAACGAGCGCAACCCCUAUUGUUAGUUGCCAUCAUUCAGUUGGGCACUCUAGCGAGACUGCCGGUAAUAAACCGGAGGAAGGUGGGGAUGACGUCAAAUCAUCAUGCCCCUUAUGACCUGGGCUACACACGUGCUACAAUGGCUGGUACAACGAGUCGCAAGUCGGUGACGGCAAGCUAAUCUCUUAAAGCCAGUCUCAGUUCGGAUUGUAGGCUGCAACUCGCCUACAUGAAGUCGGAAUCGCUAGUAAUCGCGGAUCAGCACGCCGCGGUGAAUACGUUCCCGGGCCUUGUACACACCGCCCGUCACACCACGAGAGUUUGUAACACCCGAAGUCGGUGAGGUAACCUUUUAGGAGCCAGCCGCCUAAGGUGGGAUAGAUGAU
rnacentral:rRNA from 1 species